rnacentral:rRNA from 1 species
GGCCUACCAUGGUUUUUACGGGUAACGGGGAAUUAGGGUUCGAUUCCGGAGAGGGAGCCUGAGAAACGGCUACCACAUCCAAGGAAGGCAGCAGGCGCGCAAAUUACCCAAUCCCGACACGGGGAGGUAGUGACAAUAAAUAACAAUACAGGGCUCUUUUGGGUCUUGUAAUUGGAAUGAGUACAAUUUAAAUCUCUUAACGAGGAACAAUUGGAGGGCAAGUCUGGUGCCAGCAGCCGCGGUAAUUCCAGCUCCAAUAGCGUAUAUUAAAGUUGUUGCAGUUAAAAAGCUCGUAGUUGAGUUUCGGGAUUGGCAUAUCGGUCGUGCCUUCGGGCAUGUACUGGUAGUUGUCAAUCUCCACCUUCUAGUGAACUAUUAUGCCUUUCACUAGGUGUAUAGGGAGCUAGGACUGUUACUUUGAAAAAAUUAGAGUGUUUAAAGCAGGCUUUAUGCUUGAAUAGAUUAGCAUGGAAUAACGAAAUAGGACGGCAUGAUUCUAUUUUGUUGGUUUCUAGGAUCACCGUAAUGAUUAAUAGGGAUAGUUGGGGGCAUUAGUAUUCAAUUGUCAGAGGUGAAAUUCUUGGAUUUAUUGAAGACUAACUACUGCGAAAGCAUUUGCCAAGGAUGUUUUCAUUAAUCAAGAACGAAAGUUAGGGGAUCGAAGACGAUCAGAUACCGUCGUAGUCUUAACCAUAAACUAUGCCGACUAGGAAUCAGACUCAGUUUAUUUUUUAAUGACGAGUUUGGCACCUUACGGGAAACCAAAGUGUUUGGGUUC